CCCCGCCCGCACGCAGGGAGGCCCCGGCCGGGGCGUGCAGUGUCACGGAAGCCAGAGGGCCUCGGACUUCCAAGAAAUGAGGCUCCCCAGAAAACCACAUGCUCCAGACCAGCUUGGUUCCCGAAGAGAGAAAAGCCUGAAUAAUCAAGCCAAUGUAACCAGAGAUUCUUCUUGUCCAGCAAAUGUGAGCUCCCUUGGUCAUGACUCAGCCCCUUGCCACGA
rnacentral:lncRNA from 1 species